rnacentral:tRNA from 2 species
GAGUGCAUAGCUUAAUUGGAUAAAGCAACCGACUUUUAAUCGGUGGAUUCGGGGUUCAAGUCCUCGUACACUUA